rnacentral:rRNA from 4 species
CACACGACUCUCGGCAACGGAUAUCUCGGCUCUCGCAUCGAUGAAGAACGUAGCGAAAUGCGAUACCUGGUGUGAAUUGCAGAAUCCCGCGAACCAUCGAGUCUUUGAACGCAAGUUGCGCCCGAGGCCACCUGGCCGAGGGCACGCCUGCCUGGGCGUCACG